AUCAAGAAAAUAAUAAUCCUACUCGCCUCGUUCGCGGAUCUUUAAUCCCCUCUUCGUUUGUUCUCAUAAUCAAUCGCCUUCAAACUUCUCCAUUUUAUUUUCUCAGAGGUUUAUCGACAAGCAAUUGGUGCUGAAAAUAGAAAAAGGAAGAGGAGAAAGGAGAAGAUUGAGGUCAUCUGAGGCUGAGCUCAAUCGGUCAUGGAUCAAGAGAGGGGGACCACCGAUGACAACCCGCGGAUCCGCUCGAAGGAACACUACAAACAUCUAUUUCUUUUGGCAUAUCAGAGCUUUGGUGUAGUAUAUGGUGAUCUGAGUACUUCUCCUCUUUACGUUUAUAAGAGUACAUUUUCAGGUAGGCUGCGUGAUUAUCAAGAUGAGCAGACAAUAUUUGGUGCUGUAUCCUUGAUCUUUUGGACACUCACUCUGAUCCCGCUGCUCAAAUAUGUGUUCAUUGUGCUGAGUGCUGAUGACAAUGGUGAAGGGGGACCGUUUGCUUUGUACUCUCUCCUUUGCAGACAUGCAAAGUUCAGUUUGCUUCCCAACCAACAAGCAGCUGAUGAAGAGCUCUCAACAUAUUACAGGAAUGGGAACACAAAUCGCAACACAUUUCCCUCUCCAUUGAAAAGGUUUCUAGAGAAGCACAAAAAGCUGAGAACUGCUUUGCUAGUUGUAGUUCUAUUCGGUGCUUGCAUGGUGAUUGGUGAUGGUGUUUUGACGCCAGCUAUCUCUGUUUUGUCAUCGAUUUCUGGGUUGCAAGUUCGUACUAAUAGGUUACAGAACGGUGAGGUUGUAAUAAUCUCUUGUGUUGUGCUGGUUGGCCUCUUCGCAUUGCAGCACCGGGGUACUCAGAGAGUAGCAUUCAUGUUUGCACCAGUUGUUAUCAUUUGGCUGGUGUGCAUUGGAUCAAUUGGGCUAUACAACAUAAUUCGCUGGAAUCCCAGAAUCUACCGUGCCCUUUCACCACACUAUAUCAUUAAAUUUUUCAAAGUGACAGGCAAAGACGGUUGGCUUUCACUAGGGGGGAUACUGUUAUGCAUUACAGGUUCAGAAGCUAUGUUUGCAGAUCUUGGCCACUUUAGUGGUACAUCAAUUAGGGUGGCAUUUGUUGGCAUGAUUUACCCUUGUCUAGUGCUACAAUAUAUGGGACAGGCAGCUUAUCUUUCUAAAAACAUUUCCAAUGUUCGUACGAGCUUCUAUGCAUCUAUUCCAAAGCCUGUAUUUUGGCCUGUCUUUGUUGUAGCCACUCUUGCCGCUAUAGUUGCUAGUCAGGCUGUCAUCUCGGCAACAUUUUCCAUUGUAAAGCAAUGCCAUGCCUUGGGGUGUUUUCCACGUGUUAAGGUUGUUCAUACAUCAAGGUGGAUCUACGGUCAAAUAUAUAUACCUGAAAUAAACUGGAUCCUCAUGGUUCUUUGUUUGGCUGUGACACUUGGAUUCCGUGACACAAACCUUAUCGGCAACGCUUAUGGCAUCGCUUGCAUAGUUGUGAUGUUUGUGACGACAUGGCUAAUGGCACUUGUCAUCAUCUUUGUGUGGCAGAAGCACAUCAUUUUUGCUGCUUUAUUUCUCCUGUUCUUUGGACUGAUAGAGAUAUGUUAUUUAUCUUCUUCAAUCAUGAAAGUUCCUAAGGGAGGAUGGGCACCCCUUGCACUUGCUGUUGUCUUCAUGAUCAUUAUGUAUGUAUGGCACUAUGGCACUCGAAGAAAGUAUCUCUUUGACUUACAGAACAAAGUUUCAAUGAAAUGGAUUCUUACUCUUGGUCCUAGCCUUGGUAUUGUUCGUGUGCCGGGAAUUGGAUUGAUUUACACAGAGCUGGUUACAGGAGUCCCCGCUAUCUUCUCGCACUUUGUAACUAACCUUCCUGCUUUUCAUCAAGUUCUUGUCUUUGUCUGUGUGAAAUCGGUGCCAGUUCCAUAUGUUCCACCAGAUGAACGAUACUUGAUAGGAAGAAUAGGCCCUCGACCCUACAGGAUGUAUCGCUGUAUUGUGAGAUAUGGGUACAAAGAUGUGCAAAAAGAUGAAGAUGAUUUUGAGAAUCAUCUUGUCUUGAGUAUUGCGGAGUUCAUUCAAAUGGAGGCUGAGGAGAACUCUUCAGGGAGCUAUGAGGUAUCUCCAGAGGGAAGAAUGGCGGUUAUAAGGACUUCUGAGAGAUUAGGCACGAGUUUGGUGGUUAGGGAUGCUGAGGAAAAUGGUUUAGGUGAAUCUACUGUUUUGAGAAGUAGCAAAUCCGAAACUCUCCAAAGCUUACAGUCUCUGUAUGAGGAUGAGUCACCAAGUGUAACUCGUAGACGCCGCGUCCGAUUCGAGCUGCCACCUCAGGCCGUGUAUAUAGAUCCACAGGUGAGAGAAGAGUUAGCAGCACUCAUAGAGGCUAAGCAAGCAGGGGUUGCCUAUGUGAUGGGUCACUCGUAUAUAAAGGCCAGAAAGAAUUCAUCAUUUCUGAAGAAGUUUGUUAUCAAUGUGGCCUAUUCUUUCCUUAGAAAAAACUGCAGGGGUCCUGGAGUGGCGCUAAACAUACCUCACAUUAGCCUCAUUGAAGUGGGGAUGAUCUACUAUGUAUAGCUGGCUUCAUUUCUAGAUGCACGUGGGUGUGCUUUUCAUGAUGGCUGGCUAAGGAAAAACAAGAGAGGACCUCUUUGAACAAUGUGGAGUGAAGACUGUCCUAACCAAACAGUGCUUCAACAUAUGCAACAAUGUCGAUCUCGUGCUACUUGUAGUUCUGCAGCUGACAGGCUGAUCAGUUUCUCUCUUGUCAAGCUCUUGUACAUUAUGAAUGUGGAUCUAAGAUCCUUAGCGAUGCAUUAUCUGAAUCCGAUAACACUAUUUUGGUUCCUAUUUUCUAGCUGAAUAGAUAUCUUUGAUCUUUAUGUCGAAAAAUAAGGUAGACAAUAAAUCAGGGUUUUUUUUUUACUGUUGAUGUGCCCUUUCUUGUCAAGUGAAUAAUCAGAAUAUGUAUUUAUGAUUUGAAAUUUUGAGCAUUGACAUGGCUUUUAAAAGAGACUUUUAUUGCGCAAA